AUGGGUGCUCAUGGUGGCCUCCAAAUAAAUACAUGGACAGGCUGCUAAAGAGGGUCAGGAUGAUGGAGAUGCAAGAGCCAAAGACAGCACGGACCAAACACCAGGCCAGAAUUCUGCAUGAGUCAGCUGUAAAAAACAAAAGAAUGAAACAGUACCUGCAUUUUAGUUUCCAGCCUUUUUCACAAAGUUGCCGACAACUGGAAGAAUGUCCCAAAUUGCUGAAAAAAGAAAUUCAAUUGAGUAAUUUUCACUCUAGAGACCCUGGGGUGACCACCAAGGACGAAUGAAAACUCCAGUGAGUGUCUCUAAGGUAGAUCCUAAUGCAGAUGGAUGGAAUGUUGAUCCGCCUAACAUGCAAGAUUUUCUGUACCGAGAACUUUGGAUGACCAUCAAGACAAGCACUUGUUUUGAGUCCUGAGACCCUGGGGUGACCACCGUGAACAAAUACAGA